rnacentral:rRNA from 1 species
UACGGAGGGUGCAAGCGUUAUCCGGAUUCACUGGGUUUAAAGGGUGCGUAGGCGGGCAGGUAAGUCAGUGGUGAAAUCCCGGAGCUUAACUUCGGAACUGCCAUUGAUACUAUCUGUCUUGAAUAUCGUGGAGGUGAGCGGAAUAUGUCAUGUAGCGGUGAAAUGCUUAGAUAUGACAUAGAACACCCAUUGCGAAGGCAGCUCACUACGCGAAUAUUGACGCUGAGGCACGAAAGCGUGAGGAUCAAACAGG